rnacentral:rRNA from 1 species
UUUAACUGCCAUAUCACCCUGCAGCCCAAGACCGGUUACUCACUGAAGCUAAGCAGGGCUGAGCCUGGUCAGUACCUGGAUGGGAGACCACAUGGGAAAACUAGGUUGCUGUUGGAA